rnacentral:rRNA from 1 species
AGCAGCCGCGGUAAUUCCAGCUCCAAUAGCGUAUAUUAAAGUUGUUGCAGUUAAAAAGCUCGUAGUUGAAUUUCGGGGUUAGUAGGUUGGUCAUGCCUCUGGUAUGUACUGGUCUCACUGAUUCCUCCUUCCUGAUGAACUGUAAUGCCAUUAAUUUGGUGUUGCAGGGAAUCUGGACUGUUACUUUGAAAAAAUUAGAGUGUUUAAAGCAGGCUAACGCCUGAAUACAUUAGCAUGGAAUAAUGAAAUAGGACGUUCGAUCCUAUUUUGUUGGUUUCUAGGAUUGACGUAAUGAUUAAUAGGGAUAGUUGGGGGCAUUAGUAUUCAAUUGUCAGAGGUGAAAUUCUUGGAUUUAUUGAAGACUAACUACUGCGAAAGCAUUUGCCAAGGAUGUUUUCAUUAAUCAAGAACGAAAGUUAGGGGAUCGAAGACGAUCAGAUACCGUCGUAG